rnacentral:rRNA from 1 species
UACGUAGGGACCAAGCGUUGUCCGGAUUUAUUGGGCGUAAAGAGCUCGUAGGCGGCCCUCCACGUCGGAUGUGAAAGCUCAGGGCUCAACCCUGAGAUGCCAUUCGAUACGGGAAGGCUAGAGGUAGGUAGGGGAAAGUGGAAUUCCUGGUGUAGCGGUGAAAUGCGCAGAUAUCAGGAGGAACACCGGUGGCGAGGGCGGCUUUCUGGGCCUUACCUGACGCUGAGGAGCGAAAGCUGGGGGAGCGAACAGG